UACAGAGGUCUCAAGCGUUGUUCGGAUUCAUUGGGCGUAAAGGGUGCGUAGGUGGCGCCGUAAGUCGGGUGUGAAAUUUCGAGGCUUAACCUCGAAACUGCAUUCGAUACUGCCGUGCUUGAGGACUGGAGAGGAGACUGGAAUUUACGGUGUAGCGGUGAAAUGCGUAGAUAUCGUAAGGAAGACCAGUGGCGAAGGCGGGUCUCUGGACAGUUCCUGACGCUGAGGCACGAAGGUCAGGGGAGCAAACGGG
rnacentral:rRNA from 1 species